GAUGAACGCUAGCGGCAGGCCUAAUACAUGCAAGUCGAACGGUGUCUUCGGACAUAGUGGCGCACGGGUGCGUAACACGUAUGCAACCUACCUUACAUUGGGGGAUAGCCUUUCGAAAGGGAGAUUAAUACCGCAUAAGACAGUAGCUGGGCAUCCAGCAGCUGUUAAAGAUUUAUCGAUGUAAGCUGGGCAUGCGUCCAAUUAGCUAGUUGGUGAGGUAAUGGCUCACCAAGGCAAUGAUUGGUAGGGGAACUGAGAGGUCAAUCCCCCACACUGGCACUGAGAUACGGGCCAGACUCCUACGGGAGGCAGCAGUAGGGAAUAUUGGGCAAUGGACGCAAGUCUGACCCAGCCAUGCCGCGUGCAGGAUGAAGGCGUUAUGCGUUGUAAACUGCUUUUAUACAGGAAGAAACGACUCUUGCGAGAGGCAUUGACGGUACUGUAUGAAUAAGCACCGGCUAACUCCGUGCCAGCAGCCGCGGUAAUACGGAGGGUGCAAGCGUUGUCCGGAUUUAUUGGGUUUAAAGGGUGCGCAGGUGGUUUAUUAAGUCAGUGGUGAAAGACGGUCGCUCAACGAUUGCAGUGCCAUUGAAACUGGUAGACUUGAGUAAAGUAGAGGUGGGCGGAAUUGAUAGU
rnacentral:rRNA from 1 species